UCGAACUCACAGAGAUCCGCCUGGCUCUGCCUCCCGAGUGCUGGGAUUAAAGGCAUGCGCCACCACCUCCCAGGCCCUCAAGAUAAUCUUAGACUCCCCAGCAAGACCCUGUCUCAAAAAAAUAGAUCAAUCUAUAGAAUGAUGGAUAGAUAAGUACAGCUAACACCGUGUUUUCUGUAGGUUGGAUGCUGUCGAUUGGAAGCCACAGACAGACUGAGUGUAGAAGGACAGAUGGCAGGCAAAUAGUGUCCAAGAAACUGCUGUGUUCAUGUCUGCGUCAGAUAAAAUAGGCCUUAAAAAACAACUAUGAGACGAAGAACAUAUAUGUACAUAAGAACAGAGCCUCAAAAUACAUGAAGAAAACCAUGAAAGAAUUGAAGGACAGAUUAAAAAUAUUCAGAUACAGUAGUUGGAAGACUUAACUAUUUCAUUUAUAAUAUGUUUUUUCUUUGAGAAUUCCACACAUGCACACAAUGUAUUUUGACCACAGUCACCCUCCAUUUCUCCCCGUUACCAACUUCACACCACACUUUUUGUUCUUUAUAACCUAUUGAGUUCAAUUUGUUCUACCUAUACAUGCAUGGACGUGGGACCACACCCAGGGGCAAGGCUGACCUACCAGGGACCACACCUCUGAAGAAUAAAUAUUUCAUUUGUGGUAAAGGUAGAAGAGUUGCACAGAACAUCAACAUGGAGAAGAAGACUUGGAGGUGAGCAGACAAUGAUAAGAAACUUUCAGAGGACUCCAGAGCCAGUGAUAACAGGAUACACCUUCUCUUCAAAUGAACACAGAACUCUAGGAGAGACCACAUACCAGGCACAGUCGAUCUGAAAUGGUACUUCCCACACAUCACAUCACAUCACAUCAAACCCAGACAAGAAGUGUGAUCAUUCUUGUUGUGUAAACGAGGAAACCGAGUCUCAGAGAAGCUGAAUACCCGGCCUUAGUUCAGUGAAGAGCCAGGAUUUCACCCCAGCUGGAACGACCAUUCACUAAAUGUCGUUCCAUUAAUGUAUCAAAGCCUACUCAGAAGGAUAUUGAAAGCACCCUGCUGGAAGAUGAACUGUGAGGGGCGGGAGAGACGGCUCAGCAGUUAAGAGCAUGCACUGCUCUUGCAGAGGACCAGCCUUUGGUCCCAACACCUAUGUGAGACGGAUGACAGCUGCCUGUAACACCAGUUCCAGGAGAUUGGAUGCCCUCUUCUGACAUUUUCUGGCACCUGCACAAGUGUACAACCCCACCCCAUCCCCAGAAAAAC